UACAGAGGUGGCAAGCGUUGUUCGGAAUUACUGGGCGUAAAGGGCGCGUAGGCGGCCAACUAAGUCGGACGUGAAAUCCCCAGGCUCAACCUGGGAACUGCGUCCGAUACUGGAUGGCUUGAAUUCGGGAGAGGGAUGCAGAAUUCCAGGUGUAGCGGUGAAAUGCGUAGAUAUCUGGAGGAAUACCGGUGGCGAAGGCGGCAUCCUGGACCGACAUUGACGCUGAGGAGCGAAAGCUAGGGGAGCAAACGGG
rnacentral:rRNA from 1 species